rnacentral:rRNA from 1 species
GACAGAGGGUGCAAACGUUGUUCGGAAUUACUGGGCGUAAAGCGCGUGUAGGCGGCCCUGCAAGUCGGAUGUGAAAUCCCACGGCUCAACCGUGGAAGUGCAUUCGAAACUGCAGGGCUAGAGUCCUGGAGAGGAAGGUGGAAUGCUUGGUGUAGAGGUGGAAUGCGCAGAUAUCAGGAGGAACACCAAUAGCGAAGGCAGCUCGCUGGGACGUUACUGACACUGAGGCGCGAAAGCGUGGGGAGCGAACAGG